rnacentral:rRNA from 1 species
AUAAACGCUGGCGGCGCACAUAAGACCUGCCAGUUGAACGGACUUAAUCGAAAUAUUUAUAUUUUGAAGCGGAUAGUGGCGGACUGGUGAGUAACGCGUAAGGAACCUGCCUAUUAGAGGGGAAUAACAGUGAGAAAUCAUUGCUAAUACCGCAUAUGCCAUAGAUAUCACAUGAUAACAGUGGGAAAGGAGCAAUCCGCUAAUAGAUGGCCUUGCGUCUGAUUAGAUAGUUGGUGGGGUAACGGCCUACCAAGUCGACGAUCAGUAGCCGGACUGAGAGGUGGAACGGCCACAUUGGGACUGAGAUACGGCCCAGACUCCUACGGGAGGCAGCAGUCGGGAAUAUUGCGCAAUGGAGGAAACUCUGACGCAGUGACGCCGCGUAUAGGAAGAAGGUUUUCGGAUUGUAAACUAUUGUCGUUAGGGAAGAGAAAGGACAGUACCUAAGGAGGAAGCUCCGGCUAACUACGUG